UAAGGAAUAUUGGUCAAUGGACGCAAGUCUGAACCAGCCAUGCCGCGUGAAGGAUGAAGGUCCUCUGGAUUGUAAACUUCUUUUAUCUGGGACGAAAACGGGAUUUUUAUCUCAAUUGACGGUACCAGAGGAAUAAGCACCGGCUAACUCCGUGCCAGCAGCCGCGGUAAUACGGAGGGUGCAAGCGUUAUCCGGAUUCACUGGGUUUAAAGGGUGCGUAGGCGGGCAGGUAAGUCAGUGGUGAAAUCUCCGGGCUUAACCCGGAAACUGCCGUUGAGACUAUCUGUCUUGAAUGCCGUGGAGGUGAGCGGAAUAUGUCAUGUAGCGGUGAAAUGCUUAGAUAUGACAUAGAACACCUAUUGCGAAGGCAGCUCGCUACACGGUUAUUGACGCUGAGGCACGAAAGCGUGGGGAUCAAACA
rnacentral:rRNA from 1 species